rnacentral:rRNA from 1 species
UACGGAGGGUGCAAGCGUUAUCCGGAUUCACUGGGUUUAAAGGGUGCGUAGGUGGGUCUGUAAGUCAGUGGUGAAAUCUCCGUGCUUAACAUGGAAACUGCCAUUGAUACUAUAGGUCUUGAAUUUUCUGGAGGUAAGCGGAAUAUGUCAUGUAGCGGUGAAAUGCUUAGAUAUGACAUAGAACACCAAUUGCGAAGGCAGCUUGCUACAGGGAUAUUGACACUGAGGCACGAAAGCGUGGGGAUCAGACAGG